rnacentral:rRNA from 1 species
CAGGCUUGUCGCCCUGAAUACUUCAGCAUGGAAUAAUAAGAUAGGACCUCGGUUCUAUUUUGUUGGUUUCUAGGACCAAGGUAAUGAUUAAUAGGGACAGUUGGGGGCAUUCGUAUUUAACUGUCAGAGGUGAAAUUCUUAGAUUUGUUAAAGACGAACUACUGCGAAAGCAUUUGCCAAGGAUGUUUUCAUUAAUCAAGAACGACAGUAGGGGGUUUGAAGACGAUUAGAUACCGUCGUAAUCUCUACCAUAAACUAUGCCGACUAGAGAUAGGGAAAUGCCUACCUUGGCUUCUCCUGCACCUCAUGAGAAAUCAAAGUCUCUGGGUUCUGGGGGGAGUAUGGUCGCAAGGCUGAAACUUAAAGGAAUUGACGGAAGGGCACCACCAGGCGUGGAGCCUGCGGCUUAAUUUGACUCAACACGGGGAAACUCAC